rnacentral:lncRNA from 1 species
UAUGGACACAGUAGCUUCUUGGUUUUAUUAUCAAGAAAAAACCAUACAGUUACAAAAAUAGUAAGAAAUAGAUACAAAAGAAAACAUAAUACAUGUACCUCAAAUUAUUCACACUGUCACACAACACACAUAAAUACAAAAUACAAAAUGAUUGAAACUUGGUACCAAAGAAAUUAUAGAGAAUUUUACCCUAUUAAUUCACAAAUGCACAUUGCUUUCUAAUUUCACCAUUAGAACCAGUCUUCACUUCAAUUCUUCCCAUUUUUUCCAUGGCUUGAGCAAAUUCAGCAUAGAAUUCUUUUAGUGAUCCUUUUACAAGUUGGUUGAUGUAUGAUUUUGUCGUAGAACUUGUUAUUAAGGCAGCAUCUGAUUGGAAGAGGCCUCUCCUCUUGAGCAAAAGCUUGAAGUAGCUAAGAUCAAAUGUCCUGAAACUACCAGGGUCCAUCUCAACUAUUGUUGUGUUGUUAUUGAGAGAUUUGCAUUUUUUGUCCUUAAGAUUGGCGGCGUAUUCGCUGUCUAGAGAUGGAUCCUGUGUACCAAAAGUUCCAGUGAAAUUGUAUAGACGUGAGGAAAAUGAUGGGCAAUGAGAAACUCCAAUAGUGUGAGCACCUGAAACAUGUUGAGAUGACCAUGUUUUUAAUGAGUCGGCUAACUUUUCAAUGAGAUGACGAUUCAGUUUAUCAUGAUAGCAGAGACAGAGUCUGGCGUCAAGUCUCACUGCCACCUAUUAAUAAAGCUUGGCCUUAAGAUUGGCGGCGUAUUCGCUGUCUAGAGAUGGAUCUUGAGUACCAAAGGUUCCAGUGAAAUUGUACAGACGUGAGGAAAAUGAUGGGCAAUGAGAAACUCCAAUAGUAUGAGCACCUGAAACAUAUUAGUAAAUAAAAGCCGGCUAACUCUUCAAUGAGAUGACCACACAAUUCAUCUUAUGUUUGUCGAAUACAAACAAAAUAUUGGCUAGCAUUUCUUGGCCUUAAGAUUGGCGGCGUAUUCGCUGUCUAGAGAUGGAUCUUGAGUACCAAAGGUUCCAGUGAAAUUGUACAGACGUGAGGAAAAUGAUGGGCAAUGAGAAACUCCAAUAGUAUGAGCACC